rnacentral:rRNA from 1 species
AACAGGAUUAGAUACCCUGGUAGUCCAUGCCGUAAACGAUGUCUACUAGCCGUUGGGGCCUUUGAGGCUUUAGUGGCGCAGCUAACGCGAUAAGUAGACCGCCUGGGGAGUACGGUCGCAAGACUAAAACUCAAAUGAAUUGACGGGGGCCCGCACAAGCGGUGGAGCAUGUGGUUUAAUUCGAUGCAACGCGAAGAACCUUACCUGGUCUUGACAUAGUAAGAACUUUCCAGAGAUGGAUUGGUGCCUUCGGGAACUUACAUACAGGUGCUGCAUGGCUGCCGUCAGCUCGUGUCGUGAGAUGUUGGGUUAAGUCCCGCAACGAGCGCAACCCUUUUCCUUAUUUGCCAGCACUUCGGGUGGGAACUUUAAGGAUACUGCCAGUGACAAACUGGAGGAAGGCGGGGACGACGUCAAGUCAUCAUGGCCCUUACGACCAGGGCUACACACGUGCUACAAUGGUCGGUACAAAGGGUUGCUACCUAGCGAUAGGAUGCUAAUCUCAAAAAGCCGAUCGUAGUCCGGAUUGGAGUCUGCAGCUCGACUCCAUGAAGUCGGAAUCGCUAGUAAUCGCGGAUCAGAAUGCCGCGGUGAAUACGUUCCCGGGCCUUGUACACACCGCCCGUCACACCAUGGGAGUUUGUUGCACCAGAAGUAGGUAGUCUAACCGUAAGGAGGACGCUUACCACGGUGUGGCCGAUGACUGGGGUGAAGUCGUAACAAGGUAACC